UAUCGGAUUGAUACUAAGCCAUGCGAGUCAUUGUAGCAAUACAAGGCAUACGGCUCAGUAACGCGUAGUCAACCUAACCUAUGGACGGGAAUAACCUCGGGAAACUGAGAAUAAUGCUCGAUAGAACAUUAUGCCUGGAAUGGUUUAUGUUCCAAAUGAUUUAUCGCCGUAGGAUGGGACUGCGGCCUAUCAGUUUGUUGGUGAGGUAAUGGCCCACCAAGACUAUUACAGGUACGGGCUCUGAGAGGAGUAGCCCGGAGAUGGGUACUGAGACACGGACCCAGGCCCUAUGGGGCGCAGCAGGCGAGAAAACUUUGCAAUGUGCGAAAGCACGACAAGGUUAAUCCGAGUGGUUUCUGCUAAAGGAACCUUUUGUCAGUCCUAGAAACACUGAUGAAUAAGGGGUGGGCAAGUUCUGGUGUCAGCCGCCGCGGUAAAACCAGCACCUCAAGUGGUCAGGAUGAUUAUUGGGCCUAAAGCAUCCGUAGCCGGCUCUGUAAGUUUUCGGUUAAAUCUGUACGCUCAACGUACAGGCUGCCGGGAAUACUGCAAAGCUAGGGAGUGGGAGAGGUAGACGGUACUCGGUAGGAAGGGGUAAAAUCCUUUGAUCUAUUGAUGACCACCUGUGGCGAAGGCGGUCUACCAGAACACGUCCGACGGUGAGGGAUGGAAGCUGGGGGAGCAAACCGGAUUAGAUACCCGGGUAGUCCCAGCUGUAAACCAUGCAAACUCAGUGAUGCAUUGGCUUGUGGCCAAUGCAGUGCUGCAGGGAAGCCGUUAAGUUUGCCGCCUGGGAAGUACGUACGCAAGUAUGAAACUUAAAGGAAUUGGCGGGGGAGCACCACAAGGGGUGAAGCCUGCGGUUCAAUUGGAGUC
rnacentral:rRNA from 1 species